AUGAUACUCCCUCCGUCCGGAAAUACUUGUCAUCAAAAUGAAUAAAAGGAGAUGUAUCUAUACGUAUUUUAGUUCUAGAUACAUCCCUUUUUAUCAAUUUUGAUGACAAGUAUUUUCGGACGGAGGGAGUAUAAA
rfam:Triticum aestivum genome assembly, contig: Triticum_aestivum_CS42_TGACv1_scaffold_049731_1BS